rnacentral:rRNA from 1 species
CCUACGGGGGGCAGCAGUGAGGAAUAUUGGUCAAUGGGCUUACGCCUGAACCAGCCAAGUCGCGUGAGGGAAGACUGCCCUAUGGGUUGUAAACCUCUUUUGUCAGGGAGCAACGCCGGCUACGUGUAGCCGGACUGAGAGUACCUGAAGAAAAAGCAUCGGCAAACUCCGUGCAAGCAGCCGCGGUAAUACGGAGGAUGCGAGCGUUAUCCGGAUUGAUUGGGUUAAAGGGGUGCGUAGGCGGAAUGCCAAGUCAGGGGUAAAAUCGAGGGGUUCAACCUCGCUCUGCCGUUGAAACUGGCGUUCUUGAGUGGGCGAGAGGUGUGCGGAAUGCGUGGUGUAGCGGUGAAAUGCAUAGAUAUCACGCAGAACUCCGAUUGCGAAGGCAGCAUUCCGGCGCCCAACUGACGCUGAAGCACGAAAGCAUGGGUAUCGAACAGGAUUAGAUACCCUUGUAGUC